UCUACAGGUAUAUCACCAGACAGGACGCUCUGACAGAUGAACACAGACCCUGUCCUGAUGGAGACAUCAGAUACAGGACACCUCGUCACGACAACUCAUCAACUAAACGAAAAUGAACACAGACCCCGUCCUGAUGAGGACACCAUGUCCAGCUCAACACCAGCCGUAUAAUGGAGAUAGCUGGGAUAUUGACAGACAAGCUGCUUUUUAAACGCCUUCAGGGGGAGAUAAAAGAAAACCUGCCCGGAUUACCCAUAAUUCCAAUGGAGUUACAGAAGCCAAUUAAUUACCGAUCAUCAACGGACUUUGUGUUCUGUGCGUGAACUCUACAUAAACAACGUUUCAUGAAUGGACUCUGUAUCUGUGUAGGUGAACAAAAAUAAUGCGUCAUCAAUGGACACUGUUGCUGGUCUCUGCGUUUUGUGUACGUGAAAUUUGCACAAAAAUAGCGCGUCAUCAAUAGACUUUGUAUCUGUAUAGGUGAAAUGCGUCAUCAAUAGACUCUGUGCUCUGUGUACCUUAUCUCUUUAUGAAUAAGGCAUCAUCAAUGGAAUCGGUUUUGGUUUUUUUUGUGUACGUGAACUCUACUGUAAUUUGUUAUCAUACGUUUUUUAUCAAUUUUAUCUAAGUGUAAAUCUUGUCAGUAUGUAAUAUGUUUUACAUAUCUAAGCUUUUGAAAUUUCUGGUAUCAUUCGGUGCUAGGACAGAGAUGUCCAUCAGAAUUGUAGCCAAUGUGUCACUAAUUUUUUUUUUAAUUUUGAUUUUAUACAAGAAAUCUUGUAUGGUGUACUAAACAUUAUUUUCAAAGGGGAAUAACUCAAAAUUUGUAUUUUUCAGUCAUGAUAAAAAAGAGUUAUUCCCCUUGAGAAUGAGAAAUGAAUUUGAUGGUGUUUAUCCCUGACAGUUUUAUUGGUAGGAUUGAAUAUCAGUUAAUGUAUUUUUACAAUAUAUCGUGAUCAUUUGGAAAGAAGUGAUCUGAUAAGCUUUUGAUAAGAAUUUGAUAAGUUUUAGAUGGUUUUUUAUACAAUGUUAUGUAGUUUUAAUUUCAAUAUAUUAAUAGUUGAUGUUAGUUUAAUUCAUUAAGUUUGAGCUGUGCAUGUGUAACAAUUGGUGCAUCAUAUAUUGCUUGUUGUCCUCAAAAGGUAGGUCACAAUGACCCAAUUAGAAUUAUGGUAGUUUAUGGUGAAACUAUUUUAGAACAUGUCUAUUUAAAAAAACAAACAAACUUGUGUUUUAGAAAUGAUGUACCAUUAAUCAUACCAGGAGUCAUUUACUCAUGUAUAUAUCAAUGUGAAAGUAAGUCAUGAUGACCUGAAUUUGUAAUUAGCAUGUUGUUAAUCCUAUGUGUUUGUUAAUGGUGUUUAAGCACAUUUCUCACACUGUAUCUGUGUUGACCAGAUAGAUAGGACAACUCAAGUUAAUGUCAUUUUCUUUGGAGAAAUAUUGUACGUAAGUUUAAGCGUGAUUAUUUUUUUUUUGUGUUUACCCAUACAAUGAACGUGAUGAAAUACAUUUAUAACGUAUAUAUAGUAUUAUUUUUAUUUUUUUGUGUUUACUCGUACCAUGAAAAACAUAAUACUUGUAUACAAAUGAUGUUUGGGGAAAUGUAGCGAGCUGUAGAUAAAAGUCAAUAAACUUAAAGAGACAUGUC
rnacentral:sRNA from 1 species